UCAUGUUGAUGUUAAGAUGUGAGACAAGAACUGGUUCUCUCAAGUCAAGUGUUUGUGACAGAACAAGUCCUCAACUCAUUUUGUAAGCAUUUGAUCUACUCUGAAGACACAAUAUGAUCUCCAUUACUGCUGAAAAACUACAUUUUGUUUUUUAUUUGUCAAUAGGUCUACUGAGUCUACCACUGCUUACAGAAUGUGACAAAAUUAGACUGGUCGGCGGGCCUUCCAAUUGCUCUGGUAGACUUGAGGUCUACCACAGUGAUAGUUGGGGAACAGUGUGUGAUGAUCACUGGAGCAUUGCCAACGCUGAGGUGGUGUGUCGAGAGCUAAACUGUGG